GGCUUGGUGGUGGAAUGGUUCACAUCUGCAUCCGAUAAAGUAGUGGUAAGCGCGCUUGCUUAUGCAAAAGUAGCCUGUUCGAUUCGGGUCCAAGCCA